UAAACAUGUGUCUAUGGACUUAUAGUAUAAAUAGAGGCCACUACUUCUCAUGAAUCCUCACAAAAUCAUCAACUUCUUCUUCUCUCUAUCACUCUCUUCCUCUCCACUCACCAUUUCUAUCCAGAAAAGCUGGAAGAACCCCCCACUGCCACCUUCAAACCACCCCCUGCCAUCACCUUAUUUCACUGGAAAAAACAUGCCUAAGCACCUUCCAGUGCUACCCUACUGACGUUUGGAAAUCCCUCAGCCACAUUCUCGACAAACCCAGACCAAAAACGGGAAGAAAAAGAAGGAGACAACAGGCCAUCCAAACCCACUGCUGCUAGAAGCCACCGAAUGCCACCACCCUCGACGACCUCCUGCUGUUGCUGCUUCGAAACUAAACAAAUCCUGACGGUUCGUUAUCAAAGCGACACUUCUCGGCUUCUCGCGUCAAAUACUCAAAACAAAUCAUCAAUCACACAUUAAGGAAAUCAGUGAAAUUUACUCAGACGAUGGAAAACAUGGCUCGCAAGUACUUUAAUUUUCUACUUUUGAACUGUUAUGCCUAACUAUUAAGGCAAACUCGUAUUAUUAUUUUAUUACUAUCUGUAAG